UCUAAUUGGAGCUUGCUCCGGGUAGAUUUAGUGGCGGACGGGUGAGUAACACGUGAGCAACCUGCCUUUCAGAGGGGGAUAACGUUUGGAAACGAACGCUAAUACCGCAUAACAUCUACUGGUGGCAUCACCGGGAGAUCAAAGGAGUAAUCCGCUGAAAGAUGGGCUCGCGCCCGAUUAGAUAGUUGGUGAGGUAAUGGCUCACCAAGUCUGCGAUCGGUAGCCGGACUGAGAGGUUGAUCGGCCACAUUGGGACUGAGACACGGCCCAGACUCCUACGGGAGGCAGCAGUGGGGAAUAUUGCACAAUGGGGGAAACCCCGAUGCAGCGACGCCGCGUGAGUGAAGACGGUCUUCGGAUUGUAAAGCUCUGUCUUCGGGGACGAUAAUGACGGUACCCGAGGAGGAAGCCACGGCUAACUACGUGCCAGCAGCCGCGGUAAUACGUAGGUGGCGAGCGUUGUCCGGAAUUACUGGGUGUAAAGGGAGCGCAGGCGGGGAGCCAAGUUGGAUGUGAAAUACCGCAGCUCAACUGCGGGGCUGCAUCCAAAACUGGUUCUCUUGAGUGAAGUAGAGGUAGGCGGAAUUCCUAGUGUAGCGGUGAAAUGCGUAGAUAUUAGGAGGAACACCAGUGGCGAA
rnacentral:rRNA from 1 species